rnacentral:rRNA from 1 species
CAGGCUUAACACAUGCAAGUCGAGGGGCAGCAUGGUCUUAGCUUGCUAAGGCCGAUGGCGACCGGCGCACGGGUGAGUAACGCGUAUCCAACCUGCCUUACACUCUUGGACAGCCUUCUGAAAGGGAGAUUAAUACAAGAUGUUAUCAUGAGUAAGCAUUUUCGCAUGAUUAAAGGUUUACCGGUGUAAGAUGGGGAUGCGUUCCAUUAGAUAGUAGGCGGGGUAACGGCCCACCUAGUCUUCGAUGGAUAGGGGUUCUGAGAGGAAGGUCCCCCACAUUGGAACUGAGACACGGUCCAAACUCCUACGGGAGGCAGCAGUGAGGAAUAUUGGUCAAUGGACGAGAGUCUGAACCAGCCAAGUAGCGUGAAGGAUGAAGGUUCUAUGGAUUGUAAACUUCUUUUAUACGGGAAUAAACGGAUCCACGUGUGGAUUUUUGCAUGUACCGUAUGAAUAAGGAUCGGCUAACUCCGUGCCAGCAGCCGCGGUAAUACGGAGGAUCCGAGCGUUAUCCGGAUUUAUUGGGUUUAAAGGGAGCGUAGAUGGGUUGUUAAGUCAGUUGUGAAAGUUUGCGGCUCAACCGUAAAAUUGCAAUUGAUACUGGCAGUCUUGAGUACAGUUGAGGUAGGCGGAAUUCGUGGUGUAGCGGUGAAAUGCUUAGAUAUCACGAAGAACUCCGAUUGCGAAGGCAGCUUACUAACCUGUAACUGACAUUGAUGCUCGAAAGUGUGGGUAUCAAACAGGAUUAGAUACCCUGGUAGUCCACACGGUAAACGAUGAAUACUCGCUGUAGGCGAUAUACAGUCUGCGGCCAAGCGAAAGCAUUAAGUAUUCCACCUGGGGAGUACGCCGGCAACGGUGAAACUCAAAGGAAUUGACGGGGGCCCGCACAAGCGGAGGAACAUGUGGUUUAAUUCGAUGAUACGCGAGGAACCUUACCCGGGCUUAAAUUGCAACCGAAUAUGGCGGAAACGCUAUAGCUAGCAAUAGCGGUUGUGAAGGUGCUGCAUGGUUGUCGUCAGCUCGUGCCGUGAGGUGUCGGCUUAAGUGCCAUAACGAGCGCAACCCUUGCCGAUAGUUACUAACAGGUCAUGCUGAGGACUCUGUCGGGACUGCCAUCGUAAGAUGUGAGGAAGGUGGGGAUGACGUCAAAUCAGCACGGCCCUUACGUCCGGGGCUACACACGUGUUACAAUGGGGGGUACAGAGGGCUGCUACCACGCAAGUGGAUGCCAAUCCCAAAAACCUCUCUCAGUUCGGAUUGAAGUCUGCAACCCGACUUCAUGAAGCUGGAUUCGCUAGUAAUCGCGCAUCAGCCACGGCGCGGUGAAUACGUUCCCGGGCCUUGUACACACCGCCCGUCAAGCCAUGGGAGCCGGGGGUACCUGAAGUGCGUAACCGCAAGGAGCGCCCUAGGGUAAAACUGGUGACUGGGGCUAAGU